GGCAGCAUGUCCGAGUGGUUAAGGAGUCAGACUUGAAUUUGCUACGCAGUCUCAUCUGAUGCGCUCUGCGCUCAGCGGUUCGAACCCGCUUGCUGUCG